rnacentral:rRNA from 1 species
GCUCUCAGUUCGGAUCGGAGUCUGCAACCCGACUCCGUGAAGCUGGAUUCGCUAGUAAUCGCGCAUCAGCCAUGGCGCGGUGAAUACGUUCCCGGGCCUUGUACACACCGCCCGUCAAGCCAUGGGAGCCGGGGGUGCUUGAAGUGCGUCGCCGCAAGGCGCGCCCUAGAGCAAAACCGGUGACUGGGGCUAAGUCGUAACAAGGUAAC